rnacentral:rRNA from 1 species
UACGUAGGAGGCGAGCGUUGUCCGGAUUUACUGGGCGUAAAGCGUGCGCAGGCGGUGAUGUAAGACAGAUGUGAAAUCCCCGGGCUCAACCUGGGAACUGCAUUUGUGACUGCAUCGCUGGAGUACGGCAGAGGGGGAUGGAAUUCCGCGUGUAGCAGUGAAAUGCGUAGAUAUGCGGAGGAACACCGAUGGCGAAGGCAGCCCCCUGGGCUAACACUGACGCUCAUGCACGAAAGCGUGGGGAGCAAACAGG